rnacentral:rRNA from 1 species
GACGAACGCUGGCGGCAGGCUUAACACAUGCAAGUCGAGCGCCCCGCAAGGGGAGCGGCAGACGGGUGAGUAACGCGUGGGAAUCUACCCAUCUCUACGGAAUAACGCAUGGAAACGUGUGCUAAUACCGUAUACGUCCUUCGGGAGAAAGAUUUAUCGGAGAUGGAUGAGCCCGCGUUGGAUUAGCUAGUUGGUGGGGUAAAGGUCUACCAAGGCGACGAUCCAUAGCUGGUCUGAGAGGAUGAUCAGCCAUACUGGGACUGAGACACGGCCCAGACUCCUACGGGAGGCAGCAGUGGGGAAUAUUGGACAAUGGGCGCAAGCCUGAUCCAGCCACGCCGCGUGAGUGAUGAAGGCCCUAGGGUUGUAAAGCUCUUUCACCGGUGAAGAUAAUGACGGUAACCGGAGAAGAAGCCCCGGCUAACUUCGUGCCAGCAGCCGCCGUAAAAC